AAACGACUCUCGGCAACGGAUAUCUAGGCUCUCGCAUCGAUGAAGAACGUAGCGAAAUGCGAUACUUGGUGUGAAUUGCAGAAUCCCGCGAAUCAUCGAGUUUUUGAACGCAAGUUGCGCCCGAAGCCUUCCGGCCGAGGGCACGUCUGCCUGGGUGUCACGC
rnacentral:rRNA from 1 species